GCAUCGGUUUUUGAUCAAAUAUUUAUAGGAUAUGGAUGGGCUCGCGUGACAUUAGCUAGUUGGAGAGGUAACGGCUCACCAAGGCUACGAUGUCUAGGGGCUCUGAGAGGAGAAUCCCCCCACACUGGUACUGAGACACGGACCAGACUCCUACGGGAGGCAGCAGUAAGGAAUAUUGGUCAAUGGAGGCAACUCUGAACCAGCCAUGCCGCGUGCAGGAUGACUGCCCUAUGGGUUGUAAACUGCUUUUGUCAGGGAAUAAACCUUUCUACGUGUAGAAAGCUGAAUGUACCUGAAGAAUAAGGAUCGGCUAACUCCGUGCCAGCAGCCGCGGUAAUACGGAGGAUCCAAGCGUUAUCCGGAUUUAUUGGGUUUAAAGGGUGCGUAGGCGGUCCUAUAAGUCAGUGGUGAAAGACGGCAGCUUAACUGUCGCAGUGCCUUUGAUACUGUAGGACUUGAAUCUAUUUGAAGUGGGCGGAAUAAGACAAGUAGCGGUGAAAUGCAUAGAUAUGUCUUAGAACUCCGAUUGCGAAGGCAGCUCACUAAGUUAGUAUUGACGCUGAUGCACGAAAGCGUGGGGAUCAAACAGGAUUAGAUACCCUGGUAGUCCACGCCCUAAACGAUGAUAACUCGAUGUUUGCGAUACACAGUAAGCGUCCAAGCGAAAGCGUUAAGUUAUCCACCUGGGGAGUACGGUCGCAAGAUUGAAACUCAAAGGAAUUGACGGGGGCCCGCACAAGCGGAGGAGCAUGUGGUUUAAUUCGAUGAUACGCGAGGAACCUUACCCGGGCUUGAAAGUUAGUGAAUGAUCCAGAGACGGAUCAGUCCUUCGGGACACGAAACUAGGUGCUGCAUGGCUGUCGUCAGCUCGUGCCGUGAGGUGUUGGGUUAAGUCCCGCAACGAGCGCAACCCCUAUGUUUAGUUGCCAGCAUGUAAUGAUGGGGACUCUAAACAGACUGCCAGCGUAAGCUGUGAGGAAGGUGGGGACGACGUCAAGUCAUCAUGGCCCUUACGUCCGGGGCUACACACGUGCUACAAUGGACGGUACAGCGGGCAGCUACAUAGCAAUAUGAUGCUAAUCUCUAAAAGCCGUUCACAGUUCGGAUUGAGGUCUGCAACUCGACCUCAUGAAGUUGGAUUCGCUAGU
rnacentral:rRNA from 1 species